ensembl:lncRNA
AACACAGUGUCCAAAGAAGGGCCGGAAGUAUACAGAAUGGUGUCGUCUGCGUAGAGGUGGAUCAGAGACUCACCAGCAGCAAGAGCGACCUCAUUGAUGUAUACAGAGAAGAGAGUCGGUCCAAGAAUUGAACGAUAGUAGUUGGUAAAAGUAGUAGAUGAUAGUAGUAGAUGAUAGUAGAAGGUGAUAGUAGUACAUGAUAGUAGGUUAUUGUAGCAGGUGAUAGAAGCAGAUUAUAGUUGUGGGUGAUAGUAGUAUGUGAUAGUAGUAGGUGAUAGAAAUAGAAGAUAGUAGUAGAUGAUAGUAGUAGGUGAUAGUAGAAGGUGAUAGUUGUACGUGAAAAUGGUAGGUGAAAGUAGUAGUUGAUAGUAGUAGGUGGUUGUAGUAGGUGAUAGAAAUAGAUGAUAGUAGUAGGUGAUAGUAGUAGGUGACAGUAGCAGAUGAUAGUUGUAGGUGAUAGUAGUAGGUAAGAGAAGUAGAUGAUAGAAUUAGCUGAUAGUAGUAGAUGAAAGUAGUAGGUGAUAGUGGUAGGUGAUAGUAGUAGAUGACAGUAGUAGAUGACAGUGAUAAGUGAUAGUACUACAUGAUAUUAGUAGGUGAUAGUAGAUGAUAGUAGUAGGUGAUAGUUGUACGUGAAAAUGGUAGGUGAUAGUAGUAGGUGAUAACACUAUAUGAUAAUAGAAGGUGAAAGUAGUGGUUGAUAGUAGUAGAUGAUAGUCGUAGGUGAUGGGUGUAGAUGAUAUCAGGAGGCGAUAGUUGUAGGCAAUAGUUGUAGGUGAUAGUAGUAGGUGUUAGUAUUAGGUGAUUGUAGCUGAUGAUAGUUGUAGGUGAUAGUAGUAGGUGAGAGUAGUAGAUGAUAGAAGUAGCUGAUAGUAGUAAAUGAUAGUUGUAGGUGAUAGUGGUAGGUGAUAGUAGUAGAUGACAGUAGUAGGUGAGAGGAGUAGGUUAUAGUAGUAGAUGAUAGUUGUAGGUAAAAGUAGAAGGUGAUAGUAGUUUGUGAUAGUAUACAAUGAGAGUAAUAGAUGAGAGUAGUAGGUGAUAGUAGUAGAUAUUAGUAGGUAAAAGUAGAAGGUGAUAGUAGUAGGUGAUAGUAGUAGAUGAGAGUAGUAGAUGAUAGAAGUUGGUGAUAGUUGCAGGUCAUAAUAGCAUAUGAUAUUAGUAGGUGAUAGCAGUAGGUGAUAGUAGCAGGUGACAGUAGUAGGUGACAGUUGUAGGUGACAGUAGUAGUUGAUAGUAGUAGGUGAUAGUAUUAGAUGAUAGUAGUAGGUGAUAGUAGUAGCUGAUAGUAGUAGGUGAUAGUAGUAGAUGACAGUAGUAGAUGAUACAUGAUAGCAGUAGGAGAUAGAAGUAGGUAGUAGGAGGUAAUAGUUGUAGGUGACAGUAGUAGUUGAUAGUAGUAGGUGAUAGUAUUAGAUGAUAGUAGUAGGUGAUAGUAGUAGCUGAUAGUAGUAGGUGAUAGUAGUAGAUGACAGUAGUAGAUGAUACAUGAUAGCAGUAGGAGAUAGUAGUAGGUAGUAGUAGGUAAUAGUUGUAGGUGACAGUAGUUGGUGAUAGUUGAAGGUGAAAGUAGUUGUUGAUAGUAGUAGGAUAUAAUAGUUGAUGAUAGUAGUAGGUGAUAUUGUAGCUGUCAGUAGUAGUUGAUAGUUGUAGAUGAUAGUAUGACAUUAUAGUAGUAGGUGAUAGUAGGAGGUAAUAGUAAUAGAUGAUAGUUGCAGGUGAAAACAGUCGGUGAUUGUAGUAGGUGAUAAUAGUAUUUGAUCGUAGUAGGUGAUAGUAGUUUGUGAUUGUAGUAGAUGACAGUAGUAGGUGAUAGUAGUAGUUGAAAAUAGUAUAUGAUAGUGGUAGAUUAUAGUAGUAUAUGAUAGUAUUAGGUGAGAGUAGUUGAUGACAGUAGUAGGAGGCAGUAGCAGAUGACAGUAGAAGGUGACAGUAGUAGAUGGUAGUAGUAGGUGAUAGUAGUUGAUGACAAUAGUAGAUGAUAGAAGUUGGUGGUAGUUGUAGAUGAUAGUAGUAGAUGAUAUUAGUAGGUGAAAUAGUAUUUGAUAGUAGUAGGUGAUAGUAGCAGAUGAUGGUAGUAGAUGAUAGUAGAAGAUGAUAGUAGUAGAUGAUAGUAGUUGGUGAUAGUAGUAGGUGAAAUAAGUAGAUGAGAGGUAGUAGGUGAUAGUAGCAGGUGACAGUAGUAGAUGACAGCAGUAGAUGAUAGUAGUCAAUGAUAGUAGUAGAUGAUUGUUGUAGGUGAUAGUAGUAGAUGAUAAUAGUGGAGGGCAGUAGUAGAUGACAGUAUUUGAUAAUAGUAGUAGAUGAUAAUAGUUGGUGAUAGUAGUAGUUGAUAGUUGUAGGUGACAGUAGGAGGUGAUGGUAUUAGGUGAUAGUAGUAGUUGAUAGAUGUAGGUGAUAGUAGUAAAUGACAGUAGUAGGAUAUAAUAGUUGAUGAUAGUAGUA